rnacentral:tRNA from 1 species
AAAAAUUUAGUUAAAUUAUAACGUUAGUUUGUCAAACUAAAAUUAUUUUAAAAAAUAAUUUUUA